AGGACGAACGCUGGCGGCGUGCUUAACACAUGCAAGUCGAGCGGAAAGGCCCUUCGGGGUACUCGAGCGGCGAACGGGUGAGUAACACGUGGGCAACCUGCCCUCAGCUCUGGGAUAACUCCGGGAAACCGGGGCUAAUACCGGAUACGACCACUCCUGGCAUCUGGGGUGGUGGAAAGUUUUUCGGCUGAGGAUGGGCCCGCGGCCUAUCAGCUUGUUGGUGGGGUCACGGCCCACCAAGGCGACGACGGGUAGCCGGCCUGAGAGGGCGACCGGCCACACUGGGACUGAGACACGGCCCAGACUCCUACGGGAGGCAGCAGGUGGGGAAUAUUGCGCAAUGGGCGGAAGCCUGACGCAGCGACGCCGCGUGAGGGAUGGAACGGCCUUCGGGUGUAAACCUCUUUCAGCGAGGGACAAGGCGAGAGUAGACGUACCGUGCGAAGAAGAAGCCACCGGCCAAC
rnacentral:rRNA from 1 species